rnacentral:rRNA from 1 species
UACAGAGGAGCCAAGCGUUGUCCGGAUUGACUGGGCGUAAAGCGCACGCAGGCGGAUGCGCGCGUGGGGUGUGAAAUCUGGCCGCUUAACGGCCAGGCGCCAUCCCAUACGGCGCAUCUGGAGUGAUGCAGAGGUCGAUGGAAUUGCCGGUGUAGUGGUGAAAUGCGUAGAGAUCGGCAGGAACACCCAGGGGGAAACCAGUCGACUGGGCAUCUACUGACGCUGAGGUGCGAGAGCGUGGGGAGCGAACCGG